rnacentral:rRNA from 1 species
UACGUAGGGGGCGAGCGUUGUCCGGAUUCAUUGGGCGUAAAGGGUGCGUAGGUGGCAUGGUAAGUCGGAUGUGAAAUCCCGGGGCUCAACCCCGGAACUGCAUUCGAUACUGCUGAGCUAGAGUACUGGAGAGGAGAUUGGAAUUUACGGUGUAGCAGUGAAAUGCGUAGAUAUCGUAAGGAAGACCAGUGGCGAAGGCGGAUCUCUGGACAGUUACUGACACUGAGGCACGAAGGCCAGGGGAGCAAACGGG